GAUGAAGAACGUAGUGAAAUGCGAUACGUAAUGUGAAUUGCAGAAUUCAGUGAAUCAUCGAAUCUUUGAACGCAUAUUGCGCUCUCUGGUAUUCCGGAGAGCAUGCUUGUUUGAGUAUCAGUAAACACCUCAACUUCCAUAUCUUUUUUGAAAUGGGAGUUGGACUUGAGUGAUCCCAAUGCUUUUCCUCACCGAAAAGUGGCGGGUUACUUGAAAUGCAGGUGCAGCUGGACUUUUCUCUGAGCUAUAAGCAUAUCUAUUUAGUCUGCCUAAAAAACAGAUUAUUACCUUUGCUGCAGCUAACAUAAAGGAGAUUAGUUCUUGUGCUGACUGAUGCAGGAUUCACAAAGACAGGCUUCGGCCGACUUUGUAAACUCGAUCUCAAAUCAAGUAAGACUACCCGCUGAACUUAAGCAUAUCAAUAAGCGGAGGA
rnacentral:misc_RNA from 1 species